rnacentral:rRNA from 1 species
AUUGAACGCUGGCGGCAUGCCUUACACAUGCAAGUCGAACGGUAACGGGUCCUUCGGGAUGCCGACGAGUGGCGAACGGGUGAGUAAUAUAUCGGAACGUGCCCAGUAGUGGGGAUAACUGCUCGAAAGAGCAGCUAAUACCGCAUACGACCUGAGGGUGAAAGGGGGGGAUCGCAAGACCUCUCGCUAUUGGAGCGGCCGAUAUCAGAUUAGCUAGUUGGUGGGGUAAAGGCCUACCAAGGCAACGAUCUGUAGUUGGUCUGAGAGGACGACCAGCCACACUGGGACUGAGACACGGCCCAGACUCCUACGGGAGGCAGCAGUGGGGAAUUUUGGACAAUGGGCGAAAGCCUGAUCCAGCAAUGCCGCGUGCAGGAUGAAGGCCUUCGGGUUGUAAACUGCUUUUGUACGGAACGAAAAGCCCCGGGUUAAUACCCUGGGGUCAUGACGGUACCGUAAGAAUAAGCACCGGCUAACUACGUGCCAGCCGCCGCCGUAA